GGGUGUUGGUGGUCGUCAUUGCGGGUCGGCUUCCUCCCUCGACCCACAUAAAGCCAUCACUUGAGACUCAGAUGGACAUUAGCAUCUCAUCCCCAUCCCACUCCCCAAACCCAUCCCCAUGCCCCGAUCGGGAACGUCUGCACCAGCAAGGCCCCCACGCUCGCAAACGGCCAUUCCUGGUCAGGCCCUUUGUGUUUGUCCACCACCAUUUUCAAAAGCACUCGCGACCAGGGUGUUUUGCAUAGCCGCGGGUUUUUCAACGAUAGUCAACGACUGCGCAAUCCCCAGGCCUGCUCUCACUCCCUGCCCUCGGCCACGGUCACGUGGCAGGAGUCCCGGUCCUCCUCCAGCAGCUCUCCAUUUCGAAGAUUCUCGAAGAAACGCUGAGAGGUUGGGCAGGCGGUAUCUUUGCUUUUUACUGAGACUCGAGGGUUGGAAUCGAGGACGUUGUAUCCGAGGACGUUGCAUUCGAGGCGUUGCGCGGCACUAGUAAAACGGAGAAGGGGGGAGGGGACGUAAAACGAAGGGGGGAGGGGACGUAAAAAGAAGGGGGGAGGGGACGUAAAAUCCUUGCGUGUCGCCAUGGUCGCGGGUCAGCGGUGAUGGUCGGUCAGCACCCACCUCACUACUGCGUCCUCUCACUGACACGCUGAAUAAUGAGAAAAGGUUUCUUUCAGUUGCUCUGCGUGGGAGGUGAAAUGGUCGAUCGUCGAAGUCCGCGUGUGCGCCUUCCACAUACACACACACACGGUGUACCUCUAGCCGCCUCCCCACCGACCUCCCCCCCACUUUCCCCCCACUUCCCCCCUUACCACCCAGGCGGCAUGCAUGUAGGGUCUGCAGCAGCAACGCCUGACUGCUGUAUAAAAUCAUAAGACGACGUGUUGUACGGCUAACCAUAGUAUGGCCCCACCCGGAAAGGACGAUGUACAUUUUUUUCGGGAAGUGUGUGAGCGUGUAAUGCGGUUUUGUACUUUUUGGUUCUUCCUGGCAGCAGUGGUUGCGAUUUUAAGGGUGAGAGCAUGACUUCUUGGUUGGACAUUGGUUGACCGCCAAAACGCAUCACUAUAGAUAUGAGUAGACAAUAGUAGAGUAGUAUUAUAUUACGUACAGCGAGGUGUGGAACUGCGCGGGUUCGUUUAUCGGCCGCAACCGUGUGCAGAACUGUGUUUUUAUUGUGCAGCGUGCUGCUGCUCGGCACACACACACACACACAUACAAACACACACACACACAGAGCCUUGUGACAGCGAUAAUUGGGUCCUUAUGGAGGUGGUGGCUUUUCCCGCCGCAAAGGAAGGAAGGAUGUUUCAAGGCGCCGAAAAAGCUUAAACGCGAAGGGCUACACGGGAAUAUUCCAAAUACUCUGCUGAACUUAAAUUGCGACUGGAUGGCUUCGGAGGCUGCUACCUGCCGCGAAGAUGGGUGACGCUGUAAUAUGAGAAGCUUCGUGUCGCAGUUGUUAUUAUUAUUGGAUAUUUAAACCCACUUGCAGGCAGGCUUCUGUUGGAUGGUGAAGGCGGCGUCUGGGGUGUCAGGGGAGUAAGCUCGUGUCAAGUGAACAAUUGAAAAAAGAUUGCGGGAAUUGGAUUUUUUGGAGAGAGUUUGUGGCAGUUUAAUGGAGGAUUGGGAUUUGGGGAGAGAGUGUGGAGGUUUAGGGCCCGAGAGCCCAACAGCGGACUCGGAGCAGGUUUUUAAAAUUUGAAUUCUUAAUCUCUCUCUCUCUCUCUGUCUCUAAUUCUCCAUUCUUCCUCCUCUUUCUGGAGGAAUACAGCUAGCAAGGACGCUUGACAUUGCGAGAAGGACUGCGCUCUCUUAACCGUCCGUGCCUGAGCUUCAGAGUAUGAGAGCAGUGUAACUAGUUGGUGAAAGCGCCAUCAGCGCGGCGGACGCGAUUGUUCCAUUCAAGUGCAAUAAAGCAAAAGAGCGCAGUCGGUGGUUGGUGAUAUGUCCCCCGCGGUGAGGGGAAACCCCCGGAAUCCGUUGUUCUCUCCGCCCGUGAUGUGUGAUUCGUGAUCGCAACGCCAUAAGGGCAUGUGUUAUAUCGACAACCGGGUGACCUACUUCAGACUAGACAGUACGAGAAACUCCUUCCCCUUAUCGCUGCCGUACCAACUACACCAGUAAGGCGGUAUAGUGCUAGAUGCUCACUCAGCUCAGAGCUCGGAUACUUUGUGCACGACGGAACGAGCUGGUUGGAAGGAAAUGGAAGGAAAGGCAGAUUGUAUGUGUGGGCACAGGGACCGGGUUUGGCGGAGUGGAGGGGAAGGUGGGCGGCGGAAUUUGACAGGCAGACACGUGAAGCGCACGCUUUGAGGCCUCCAGCCUCCCUAACAACUUUUACACCCGUCCCAAAUACCACGCACCCGCUACACGCGUUUUAGGCCAUAAAAUGAGAGGGACGCCCAGGACCGAUCCAUGGAGAGGCAAGUGGGCUCCCCAUCCUUAAUAGGCAGUAAUUACUCUUUGUUUUG
rnacentral:lncRNA from 1 species